rnacentral:rRNA from 1 species
CGACGAGUGGCGGACGGGUGAGUAAUACUUAGGAAUCUGCCCAGUAGUGGGGGGACAACUCGGGGAAACUCGAGCUAAUACCGCAUACGCCCUAAGGGGGAAAGCGGGGGAUCUUCGGACCUCGCGCUAUUGGAUGAGCCUAAGUCGGAUUAGCUUGUAGGUAGGGUAACGGCCUACCUAGGCGACGAUCCGUAGCUGGUCUGAGAGGACGAUCAGCCACACUGGGACUGAGACACGGCCCAG